rnacentral:tRNA from 1 species
UGGAAAUGUAGUCAACAAUGACAUAUGAUUUGCAUUCAUAAAGUGUUUAACAAAAACCUUUUUC